UUUGAUCCUGGCUCAGAUUGAACGCUGGCGGCAUGCUUUACACAUGCAAGUCGAACGGCAGCGCGGGGCAACCUGGCGGCGAGUGGCGAACGGGUGAGUAAUAUAUCGGAACGUACCCAAGAGUGGGGGAUAACGUAGCGAAAGUUACGCUAAUACCGCAUACGAUCUAAGGAUGAAAGCAGGGGAUCUUCGGACCUUGUGCUCCUGGAGCGGCCGAUAUCUGAUUAGCUAGUUGGUGAGGUAAAGGCUCACCAAGGCCACGAUCAGUAGCUGGUCUGAGAGGACGACCAGCCACACUGGAACUGAGACACGGUCCAGACUCCUACGGGAGGCAGCAGUGGGGAAUUUUGGACAAUGGGCGAAAGCCUGAUCCAGCAAUGCCGCGUGAGUGAAGAAGGCCUUCGGGUUGUAAAGCUCUUUUGUCAGGGAAGAAACGGUGAGGGCUAAUAUCCUUCGCUAAUGACGGUACCUGAAGAAUAAGCACCGGCUAACUACGUG
rnacentral:rRNA from 1 species